UCUCUCUCUCUCCGCUUCCAUCAUCUUAGGAUCUCUCUCUCAAUCUCUCUCUAUAUUGACUGAUCGAUUAGGGUUUUCAAGCUGAAUUCGCUACUCGUCCACCGCGAAGAAGCGUUCACCUUGAUUCUAGGUUAGGUUUUUUUUUGGCGGAUCUAGCCAAGUCCUCCUUUGUUUUUUUUCUUUUCCAGCUACGGCGAAGCUUCACAUCUCCACUCCUCCCUCGCUACCAUGUUCUGGAAGCUCACAUCUCUUUCUGCGUCAUCUCCUGUGGAGACAAUUUUAGACAAAGAGAAUUUCACGUUGGAA